rnacentral:lncRNA from 1 species
CUUUGUCUUUCCUGUACCACGGCCCACGUGGGCAUCAUGCUGUAUGGGGUGGACAGCCGGAGCAGCCACUGGCACCUGGACGGCGACAGAGCCUUCCACCGCAACAGCCUGGACAUCUUCCGGAUCGCCACCCGCACAGCCUGGGUAGCGUGUGGAAGAUCCGAGUGUGGCACGACAACAAAGGGCUCAGCCCUGCCUGGUUCCUGCAGCACAUCAUCGUCAGGGACCUGCAGACGGCACGCAGC